GCUGGGCGCAGUGGCAUGUGCCUGUAGUCCCAGCUACUUGGGAGGCUGAGGCUGGAGGAUCUCUUGAGUCCAGGAGUUCUGAGCUGUAGUGUGCUAUGCUGAUCAGGUGUCCGCAUUAAGUUCAGCAUCAAUAUAGUGACCUCCCGGGAGCAGGGGACCACCAGGUUGCCUAAGGAGGGGUGAACCAGCCCAGGUCAGAAAUGGAGCAGGUUAAAACUCCUGUGCUGAUCAGUAGUGGAAUUGUGCCUGUGAAUAGCCACUGCACUCCAGCCUGGGCAACAUAGCGAGACCCCCCAUCUC
rnacentral:SRP_RNA from 13 species